CCUACGGGUGGCUGCAGUGAGGAAUAUUGGUCAAUGGCCGCAGGGCUGAACCAGCCAAGUCGCGUGAGGGAUGACGGUCCUAUGGAUUGUAAACCUCUUUUGUCAGGGAGCAAAGGGAGCCACGUGUGGCGCUUUGCGAGUACCUGAAGAAAAAGCAUCGGCUAACUCCGUGCCAGCAGCCGCGGUAAUACGGAGGAUGCGAGCGUUAUCCGGAAUCAUUGGGGUUAAAGGGUUCGGAGGUGGCACGUUAAGGCUGGUGGUAAAUGCAGAGGCUCAACCUCUGUUCGGCACUGGAUACUGGCGAGCUUGAAUGCGGUAGAGGUAAAGGGAAUUCCUGGUGUAGCGGUGAAAUGCGUAGAUAUCAGGAGGAACAUCGGUGGCGUAAGCGCUUUACUGGGCCGUAAUUGACACUGAGGAACGAAAGCCAGGGUAGCAAAUGGGAUUAGAUACCCCAGUAGUC
rnacentral:rRNA from 1 species